rnacentral:rRNA from 1 species
GACGAACGCUGGCGGCGUGCUUAACACAUGCAAGUCGAACGGAAAGGCCCUGCUUUUGUGGGGUGCUCGAGUGGCGAACGGGUGAGUAACACGUGAGUAACCUGCCCUUGACUUUGGGAUAACUUCAGGAAACUGGGGCUAAUACCGGAUAGGAGCUCCUGCUGCAUGGUGGGGGUUGGAAAGUUUCGGCGGUUGGGGAUGGACUCGCGGCUUAUCAGCUUGUUGGUGGGGUAGUGGCUUACCAAGGCUUUGACGGGUAGCCGGCCUGAGAGGGUGACCGGCCACAUUGGCACUGAGAUGCGGCCCAGACUCCUACGGGAGGCAGCAGUGGCGAAUAUUGCACAAUGCGCGGAAGCCUGAUGCAGCAACGCCGCGUGCGGGAUGACGGCCUUCGGAUUGUACACCGCUUUCGCCUGUGACGAAGCGUGAGUGACCGUAAUGGGUAAAGAAGCACCGGCUAACUACGUC